GAUCAGUGGCUCAAGAACGAACGCUGGCAGCAGGCCUAACACAUGCAAGUCGAGCGCGCCCUUCGGGGUGAGCGGCGGACGGGUGAGUAACGCGUGGGAACGUGCCCUUUUCUACGGAAUAGUCUCGGGAAACUGGGGGUAAUACCGUAUACGCCCUUCGGGGGAAAGAUUUAUCGGAGAAGGAUCGGCCCGCGUUGGAUUAGGUAGUUGGUGGGGUAAUGACCUACCAAGCCGACGAUCCAUAGCUGGUUUGAGAGGAUGAUCAGCCACACUGGGACUGAGACACGGCCCAGACUCCUACGGGAGGCAGCAGUGGGGAAUCUUAGACAAUGGGCGCAAGCCUGAUCUAGCCAUGCCGCGUGAGCGAUGAAGGCCUUAGGGUUGUAAAGCUCUUUCAGGGGGGAAGAUAAUGACUGUACCCCCAGAAGAAGCCCCGGCUAACUCCGUG
rnacentral:rRNA from 1 species